rnacentral:rRNA from 1 species
UCGAGGGGCAGCACAGGUAGCAAUACCGGGUGGCGACCGGCGCACGGGUGAGUAACGCGUAUGCAACUUACCUAUCAGAGGGGGAUAACCCGGCGAAAGUCGGACUAAUACCGCAUGAAGCAGGGGCCCCGCAUGGGGAUAUUUGCUAAAGAUUCAUCGCUGAUAGAUAGGCAUGCGUUCCAUUAGGCAGUUGGCGGGGUAACGGCCCACCAAACCGACGAUGGAUAGGGGUUCUGAGAGGAAGGUCCCCCACAUUGGUACUGAGACACGGACCAAACUCCUACGGGAGGCAGCAGUGAGGAAUAUUGGUCAAUGGCCGAGAGGCUGAACCAGCCAAGUCGCGUGAGGGAUGAAGGUUCUAUGGAUCGUAAACCUCUUUUAUAAGGGAAUAAAGUGCGGGACGUGUCCCGUUUCGUAUGUACCUUAUGAAUAAGGAUCGGCUAACUCCGUGCCAGCAGCCGCGGUAAUACGGAGGAUCCGAGCGUUAUCCGGAUUUAUUGGGUUUAAAGGGUGCGUAGGCGGCCUUUUAAGUCAGCGGUGAAAGUCUGUGGCUCAACCAUAGAAUUGCCGUUGAAACUGGGGGGCUUGAGUAUGUUUGAGGCAGGCGGAAUGCGUGGUGUAGCGGUGAAAUGCAUAGAUAUCACGCAGAACCCCGAUUGCGAAGGCAGCCUGCCAAGCCAUUACUGACGCUG